AAAGCUUGGUUUUGGUUUAUUAGAUUAGAUUUUCAUUUGAUGUCACUAUCCAUUGAUAUGUGUUUUAAUACUUGAGCAAAUUUAUUAUGGCUUGAUUCAAUGGUUUAAUACCUAAAAGAAACACAUGUACUUCAGUAUCCCUUGUUGAGCAAUGCUUGCAUCGUAAAGAUUUUUGGUACCUUCUUAUAAUGACCCUCUUUGGUUAUGCUCACUAAAUUGUUUGAUGUAUGUAUGUUGGUUUUGGGAACCUCUUUGAUAUGGUUUACAGUUUUCUUUAUUUUUAGAGUUAGGUUGUCAUUCAUGUGUAAGUUUUUGGUAAGGUAGAAUUGUAAGUAAUAAGCUUUGAUCAUUCGUUUAGGUGGUGAGAACGUGGACACUUGAGCUUCUCUAAUCCUAAUCUCUUGCAUACUCUACUUUCAGGUUGCAGGCAUACCUUGGCAUAAAGAUCGAAUAUUGUCCCGCAAUUUUCAUUCCGCAUGCAAAAAAGUGAAGAACACACUUUGUCUUUCAAAUUUCUUUGUUCAAGCGGCUCCUCUCUACAAUGACUCAGAAAUACACAGCAGGCUAUACUGACAACGUUCAAAGCAUGAACAAGUAUUCAGAGUUUACAUGGAAAAGGGAGAAGCUAACUGAUUCGGCAAAUCUAGAGUUACCAAAAGUCAUUUUAGGACUUACAGCAGAAAAUUGGAGAAUGGUCCAUGUGUCUGGCCACUUUCGAUUUUGAUAUGAAAAAUUGUACUCGACCAGAAUAAAGAUAUAGUGGAAGACGAGAAGGCAAACAAUAGAAAAGAUGAAUAUUGUCAAAAAUAAAGACAAAUUCAUUCUUAUUAAUAUUGCCACUGACUGAGAACUUGGAAGAUGAUACACAAGUGCAACGAAGAGCCAGGAUACAUACCUGCAGAAGCAAAUUCCCAAAAUUUACUAAAUACCCAUUGUUUAUCUUUAUGUCCCUAUACAGUCUACACAUACACAUGAGAACAUGAUAUUUUCCGUUUCACCUGAAAGGGAUGAAGUCCAUUUUUUUUUCAUGGUCAAAUUUUUUUAAUUUUUUUCUAAUGGAAAAUGCUAUAGUUAUUACAAAUUU